GUGGGGAAUAUUGCACAAUGGGGGAAACCCUGAUGCAGCGACGCCGCGUGAGUGAAGAAGUAUCUCGGUACGUAAAGCUCUAUCAGCAGGGAAGAAAAUGACGGUACCUGACUAAGAAGCCCCGGCUAAAUACGUGCCAGCAGCCGCGGUAAUACGUAUGGGGCAAGCGUUAUCCGGAUUUACUGGGUGUAAAGGGAGCGUAGACGGCGGGGCAAGUCUGGAGUGAAAGGCCGGGGCCCAACCCCGGGACCGCUCUGGAAACUGCCCGGCUGGAGUGCGGGAGAGGUAAGCGGAAUUCCUAGUGUAGCGGUGAAAUGCGUAGAUAUUAGGAGGAACACCAGCGGCGAAGGCGGCUUACUGGACCGUGACUGACGUUGAGGCUCGAAAGCGUGGGGAGCAAACAGGAUUAGAAACCCUAGUAGUCC
rnacentral:rRNA from 1 species